CGGCCUCUAUCAAUCUUCAAGGAGAGGACGGUGAUCAAAACGGAAACAGGAAAAAUUCUCCAGAAGCAGAGCACAGCGACACUUCGCCCUUCGGUUACUUCGCUGGAUCUCAAAUUCGAACCCUAAUUUACCUCUGAAUUCCACUUAACCUUCAGAGAAUUCUCCAGAAUGUUGACGGGCCACGCAGAUGUGCUGCCGAAACAUGGUUCCGCAAAGGAUUUGCUGCUAUCUGAUCCUGUAUCAGAGAUUAAUGAAGAUGAAGAAGGGGAUGCUCACGGGCAGAUACUGUAUAAAGCUUCUUUCAAAGAACUGGCUGAAAAAAAUGUUGAGUAUGACACUGUUACAUGGGUUUUAAUAUCCUUGCUCCUGGUUUUAGCCUGGGGAAUUGGAAUCAUCAUGUUGCUUUAUCUGCCCAUCAGAAGAUAUGUGCUACAGAAGGACAUUUCAUCACGCAAACUGUAUGUUACUCCUUAUGAAAUAGUUUACAAGGUCACAAGGCCUUCCUUUGUACCCUUUUGGGGAAUAAUAAAGAUAGAAAAGCAUGUACCUCUGUCGGAGGUGAUUGACAUUAUCAUUGAACAAGGCUGCUUGCAAUCAUUGUAUGGUAUCCAUACCUUCCUAGUUGAAAGCAGAGCACGGGGAAAAGCUGCACCUGUAGAUCAAUUGCAGGUGCAAGGGGUUUAUAACCCGGGACUUUUGCGAAAGAUCAUUGUAUCUGAAGCUUCCAAGAUGAUACAAGAUGUUGGCAGAAGCUGGAAACCACAUCCUCAAAUCAGUGAACGGGAUACCAUUGUCCAUAUGGGAUCUUCAGCUGAGGGUCCAGCCGUGUUGAGAUCACCAUACAAAAGUCAGAAGAUCAUAGGUUCCCCACACCAUGCUUCAGUUGAGCACGGAAGUGUCCUGCCUGCAGACGUGUUGCUACAUAAACUUGAAGAAGUUAACAAAUCAGUCAAGAAAAUCGAGCUGCUUGUCAACAAGUCCCGGCCUUCCCAAGAUGACAGCUAAUCUACAGUCACCGUCUCCUUCCAAUGGGUACCGCCGCCCUAUGGAAGAGGAGAUUGAAAAGCGAAGUGCCAUGCCCUCUAACUAUUCAUCAAGGCGGCAUUUCAUUGGCAACGCCGACGUCCCCCACCGUGUUUUCUUUCGUCUCCGGUGACAGCUCUCUCUCUCUAUCUUUCUCUCAUUUUGCCAUCUAGGAGCUAACAAUAGGAAUUAUGAUAGACUCAACUAAUUCUUCUCCCCUGUGAGUCUGUGAUAUUAUGUAUUUGUGCUCUCUCUCUCUCUCAUUUUCCCUUCUAGGAGCAAACAAUAGGAAUUAGGAUAGACUUAACUUAUUCUUCUCCCCUGCGAGUGUGAUAUUAUGUAUUUGUGUUCUGUAUGUGAGAUGGCAUUUAGUUCAAUAGGAUGCUUAAAUUUGUGAUUACACAGUUCUAUUAUCAAAAAUGAAUUUGAGAACAAAUGGUAAAAUGUUUGGUAUUCCAAACGGAGGACAGGAGGAUUUCUUCUUUUAGCAAUGACUAGGACUUAGAUUCUUGUAUAGAUAGGCCCUGUGAUUUACCUUUCGAAAGCUGAUUUAGGGUUUAUAGUUUGGGAUAAUCAUAAACAAAGUUAUAGUCUGAUAAUAGGUGAAGGGUUAGUGAAUCUCAAGUCACGAAUUUGAGUAUUGGAAGCCUUUAAUGAAAUGAUUUUUUUUUAUUUUUUUUUUUUUGUGGUAGACAUUUUUAUAAUAAUGUUGUCGGUUAUGAAUUUAAGACAUUCUAAUAAUUAGUAUUUUGUUGAGCACUCUAAUAAUUAAAAUUAGGGCUAAUUAUGAAAAUAAUUCAAUUAUUUUAGUGAAUUUGUAUUUUUUUUUUAAUUUUGUCAAUUAGGUCUAAAUUGAUUUAGAGAAAAUGUGUCAAUGCUGAUUUAACAUGUUAGAUGUCACACUUAGUAUGCUGAGUUGAUUUUACAUGUUGAAUAAAAUUAUAUUCAAUUAAACUAAUUUAAAUUUAAUUGUUAAAAUUAAAAAAAAUUGUUGCCCUUAGAAUUAUUAUGGUUAACAUGAGCUUAACAUGAAACUUAGUAGAAAUAACACAACUAAAAUAAACGUAAUGGUUCUUUUAUGAAAAUUAAUUAAUUAAUGUGUAUUUAUUACACUUUAAUUAUUGCUCUUAAGAUCAAACUUGAUGGUUAACUAAACAUGUUUUUCAUAUUAAUUGGUGAAAAAGCACAAUUUAUAUCAUGUAUGUUGGAAGUGGAGGUGUUCAAAUUUCGAUCUGGAUCCAAUCGGAAAGCUCAAUUCAGUCUGGAUAAGUUUAGUUCAAUUUUUAGUCUGAAAAUUAAAAAAAAUCUGUCUUCCAUUCGGUCCCAAUUUUAAUUCAAAGACUGAAUAAAUUAUAUAUAUAUAUAUAUAUAAGUUUUUAACUUAGCAAUAUUAUAAUAUUGUUGUAUUUUUUUUGAAUAAAUUACAUUUCAAAAAGUCUACAUUAGAGGAUAUCACGUAACAAAAAAAAUUAAAAUAAUAACAUAACAACAACAUAUUAGAAACCAACAAAAGAAAAUUCAUCUUAUAACAUAAUAAAAUCACGUAAAAGAAAUCGUCAAUAAUAUUAUAAAUAUGAUAAUAUGUGCUGCAAUAGUAUUUAUAUUAAUAUAGUUACAGAAACAAUAUAACCAUUGUAUUACUACAAAUAUAAAUUAAAUAAGAUAUAAUCGAUCAAACCAAGUUGAUCCAAUCCCACUCUUGGGAUUACUAUUUUUGCAUGGUUUUCUGUCUCUCUUGCUUUUGAUUUUGACAUGUGAGAUAAAUUAUAAAUGAAAAUUUUAUCUAAUUAGACAGGAUAAAAAAUUAAAUUCAUGACCUAUUAAUAUGAAUCUUAAUUUAUCAUGACUCAAUCACUUAAAAUGUGUCUUAGGAGUUGAUCAAAUCGAGAGCGAUUUUGUUCACUCCCUUAAUGAUCACCCUCACUACUUUUGUGAGGGUAAAAAAUAACGGGCAAAAAUAGUGAGGGUGAUAAUCACCCCGUUAAAGGAGGAACAAAAUCGCACUCGAUCCAAUCCCACGAUGU